CCGGAGCGAGGGAGACGGCAACCCGCGCACCUUGGGAGUGUGAGAAACCCCGUUCGACUCGGGGGCUCCGGAC
rnacentral:tRNA from 1 species